AUGAACGCUGGCGGCGUGCCUAAUACCUGCCAGUCGAGCGAACAGAUAAGGAGCUUGCUCCUUUGACGUUAGCGGCGGACGGGUGAGUAACACGUGGGUAACCUACCUAUAAGACUGGAAUAACUCCGGGAAACCGGGGCUAAUGCCGGAUAACAUUUAGAACCGCAUGGUUCUAAAGUGAAAGAUGGUUUUGCUAUCACUUAUAGAUGGACCCGCGCCGUAUUAGCUAGUUGGUAAGGUAACGGCUUACCAAGGCAACGAUACGUAGCCGACCUGAGAGGGUGAUCGGCCACACUGGAACUGAGACACGGUCCAGACUCCUACGGGAGGCAGCAGUAGGGAAUCUUCCGCAAUGGGCGAAAGCCUGACGGAGCAACGCCGCGUGAGUGAUGAAGGUCUUCGGAUCGUAAAACUCUGUUAUUAGGGAAGAACAAAUGUGUAAGUAACUGUGCACGUCUUGACGGUACCUAAUCAGAAAGCCACGGCUAACUACGUG
rnacentral:rRNA from 1 species